rnacentral:rRNA from 1 species
UACGUAGGUGGCAAGCGUUGUCCGGAUUUACUGGGCGUAAAGGGCGUGCAGGCGGUCUGUUAAGUUCAGGGUGAAAGCUCCCGGCUCAACUGGGAGAGGUCCUUGGAUACUGGCAGACUUGAGGAGGGUAGAGGAGAGUGGAAUUCCCGGUGUAGUGGUGAUAUGCGUAGAUAUCGGGAGGAACACCAGUGGCGAAGGCGAGUCUCUGGACAUUUCCUGACGCUGAGGCACGAAAGCCAGGGGAGCAAACGGG